GUAUUGAUUCGCGCGUGAUCGCGCAAAGAACAUUCUACACUAGGGUGUUUGAUGUUUAAAAACGUGAGCACCCCCCUCCGAGGAAGGGGGGACACACGCGGUGAUGCACAAAGGGGUGAGAUGGAUAUUUGUAUGUGAGAGCACUCGGGCGUGCACGACAAAAAGUCAGCGACAGCCCGGGCACCUCCGUUGUAUGAUAAUGAUCCUUCCGCAGGUUCACCUACGGAAA
rnacentral:misc_RNA from 1 species